GACGAACGCUGGCGGCGUGCCUAAUACAUGCAAGUCGAGCGGACGAUUCGAAAGCUUGCUUUUGAAUCGUUAGCGGCGGACGGGUGAGUAACACGUGGGCAACCUGCCCUGUAGACGGGGAUAACACCGAGAAAUCGGUGCUAAUACCGGAUAACACGAAAUGUCGCAUGACGUUUCGUUGAAAGGCGGCGCAAGCUGCCGCUACAGGAUGGGCCCGCGGCGCAUUAGCUCGUUGGUGAGGUAACGGCUCACCAAGGCGACGAUGCGUAGCCGACCUGAGAGGGUGAUCGGCCACACUGGGACUGAGACACGGCCCAGACUCCUACGGGAGGCAGCAGUAGGGAAUCUUCCGCAAUGGACGAAAGUCUGACGGAGCAACGCCGCGUGAGCGAAGAAGGCCUUCGGGUCGUAAAGCUCUGUUGUUAGGGAAGAACAAGUAACGUAGUAACUGACGUUACUAUGACGGUACCUAACGAGAAAGCCACGGCUAACUACGUG
rnacentral:rRNA from 1 species